rnacentral:lncRNA from 1 species
AUUUGCCCUUGACGUUUUACCGAAAUUCCACUCAAUGCAGCGAAAGAUCAUACGAUUGUCCCGUUAAAGCUCUUAAACGUCAUCAGAUCUUCGAGCUUUAUGUUCGGUACAGCCUAGCUUCACUGGGAUGAGUUUUACUAGAGUUAUUAGCAAAGAGUCGAUCGACAAAACCAGACGUGAUUGUGGCAAGUACGUAGACAUAACCUACACAAAACUUACAUAAUCCCUCGUGUCGAAGUUUUCUUGCAAUCCAUAAAUUCAGAGGAAUCUGUGUUGAUCUGUGCUAGUGCCUAGUGAAAACAAUAAUCAACCAAGGUAUGUCUGCCGUGAGCUAGGAAAGUGACCAGUAUAAUUUAUGCGAAUUAAGUUUAUAGAACAGAGGUCAGGAGCCCUAUCUUUCUUGGCAGCCUAAGUGCACAUACGAGAGGCGUAUAGCCGAAGUGGUCCCCCAAUCUAAAAGGGGUACCCUUCGAACCCCCUCUUCUGACACAAUCGAGCAUCGAAAACCUCUGACUUGGGUCAACUUUAGUGAGGCGUAGCAACCCUUCGGAAGCCCAGCGCGUAAGGCGGCGCCUCGGAACCUUUCACCAGCUCCACUGAGACCACCAGUUUGUCGCGCACUUUAGUGCUUAUGUAAGCGGCAGAUCGACAUCAAGCCGGAUGUUCCACAUUUUAGCCCAGUGUCCAGAGCUAGAACAUUUAUUUUGACGGACCUGACUACAGAGGAGCCACCGCCAACAGCAAGACAGAUGUCCGGAGUUAUGCUGUGUUACUUUGCACAUUUUCUGGGAUUAAGUUCGAUAUGCCAUUUUAAAGCCAAUUCUCUGGCAGUUAUGUAUAUGUAUAUUCAAGCAUCGGGAAUAUGAGUGUUUGUAGAAAAGAUUGGGUAUGAAAUAAUAAAUUGAAAUCGUACUUGCAGGUACGUUCGAGUGCAUAUUUUUUAAUACCUUCUAUUUUUCCCCAGAAACCAGCACCUACGUCAUCAUUGAGCUCAACGAUUACGAAAGGAGUAAGGGUAUUAAAGUGGUAGAAUGAAAACUGCCUGAUUGUUCUAGGGUCUAUACGGUUCGAUUUACCAGUAUAGCAUAGGUUUGGAGGGUAGAGAAGAGGGAUUCUCGACGACACCUGAGUUUCCCGUGACUUGAAUAGAGUAGUUGAUAUCAUCAUCCCCCUUUUUCUCAACAACAAAUAAUUAAUCCGCUUUCCCUACAUUCAGUCCAGUUUAUUUGAUUCUUUUUAAAUGUGAACCUAAAACAUUAUGCGAGUGUGUGUCAGUAC